CCGCCUGGUGUGCUCAAGCCCACCUGCACUCUAUGGUACGCGGGGACUUCCGGCUUCUCGGCCGCCGGGAGGAUGAGUGUCGCCGGGGAGCGGCCACGUGACUCCCCGGGGCUGGGGCUCGGCUUCGGCCCGUCGGCCCUGGGGACCAAAGAGCACUGGGAUGCUGCAUAUGAAAGUGAAUUACAGAUUUUUCAAGAGAGUGGAGAUGCUGGGGAAAUUUGGUUUGGAGAAGAAAGCAUGAUUCGUUUAAUCAGAUGGAUGGAAAAACAAAAGAUCCCUCUGGACAGCUCUGUGCUUGACAUUGGAACUGGAAAUGGUGUUUUACUUGUUGAAUUGGCAAAAUGUGGUUACACUAAUCUCACUGGAAUUGAUUACUCUCCUUCUGCAAUACAACUUUCUCAAAACAUAAUAGAGAAAGAAGGGCUGUCUAAUAUUAAAUUGCAGGUAAAAGACUUCUUGACUCCAUCAGCUGAGCUAUCAGGAUUUCAGAUUUGUAUUGACAAGGGAACUUUUGAUGCCAUAAGCCUUAAUCCUGACAAUGCAGCUGAGAGGAGGAAGCAGUAUGUGAAAUCCCUCUGCACGGUAUUGAAAAUGGAAGGCUUUUUCCUCAUGACCUCUUGUAAUUGGACCAAAGAGGAGCUGCUAAAUGAGUUCAGAGAAGGCUGCAUAUGUGAUCAGAAAAGCUCCCAGUUUAACUGAAGUUGAGGAACUGGAUGGCAAAAGAUGUGCCAGAUCAUUCAGCCCUUCUUCCUGAAGAAGUCUAACUAUAUGCUAGAUGCAAUCCACUUUUUACCAACGUAAAAUAUUGCUGUUAAAACAGGUGUAUUUUGGAGACGGAUUUUAGCAGCAAUCUGAGCAGACAUAUCCUUGAGCCUUUCUAAACCUCUGCUCCUGCCUUCAUCUGAUGUGUUUCUACCUUUGGAUUUGAGCAACCACCACUUCCUGGAAGGAAACACUGAAUGAGAUGAAAAAUGGAGGGAAAGGAAAGGGAAAACCAGUGUUCUUAAUCCCCAGUCCAUGGGGAUUCUGAGUGUUCAUUCAGAUUUUCUUCUCUUUUUGGAAUCUUCAUUCCAGUGUAUUAAUGUCAUGUGGCAUAUUUUUGAGGUGGUCCAGAGGUGAAAACCUGAUCGUUUAUUUGCUAUGGGCAAGAUUCUGCCACCCUUACUUGGUGAGAAUUAUUCCAUGCUGACCCUCAGAGAUUACUCCAGUCCCUCUAACUCAACCUCUUAGUGGGCCUGUUGACUGGAAGACUCCUGUGGCAGCAGAUCAUUUGCUCCUGCCACAAAUCCACCUGUCCCUGCACACAACUCUGCAAGUGGACUAUACAGGGUACGCUUGUCCCUUGCAGAGCCUCCCCACAGCCUAAUCCCUUCCCUCCUUGCACAGUAGACCGUUGCUCUGAACCUUUAAAAGGAGCGGUGUGCUCUUACCUUAGUCCCCAUUUGUGCACAUUAUAAAACCAUGACACAAUUCAGCAUUGUCAGUGGUCUCUGCUCAAGGAAGGUUCAGAAUAGAAUAGCAGGAAUUAGGACUGAGGUAUGUUGGCAAAAAGGGUAUGGGAAAGCUCUUAGGAGUGACAGUCUGAUCCAUAUUCCUGUGGUCGCGCCAGGACUCUCCCUCGGUGGCCUCACUUUCAGGAACACAUAAUUCACUCACAUGCUUUGUUUAGUAAAAGAAGUGGGGAGAGGGAAUAGCAAAGGCCUGAAUAAUUUUCCAGUGCAAAGGAGAAAAAUAGUAUCCCACUGCACCGUAUUUAGGAUGGGUCUGAUGAGCCAAAUGUUUGCAAGGGGAUCAGAGUAUGCCAGCAGGAGUCACUCUAAGCCUCCUAAUGGAAAUUUAGGAAGUUAACAGAAGUCUUCAAAAUAAUCAAAGAUUGAGGUGAAUCAUUUAAUUGCAGGUGAUAACGAACAUUUAAACAACACCAGUAUUAGUAAGUUCUGCAGCAUUCUUGAUCAUUUAUUAGUUUUACUUCUUGCAUGAUCUGGUUGCCUUUUCAUUUUACUUUAUUAUUUUAUUUUAUAACUCAUUUUUAAAAAAUGUAAUAAGUAAAGCUAUUUCCUGGGACAAAGACUACAUCUAUCCUGCAGACUGAAAGAACAAAGGUCUGGAGCAGUUUAUAUCAAGUUGCCUCAAAUUUCUUAAUCUCAUUACCCUGCAGCAAUAUCUGUUGGGAGUAGUGAGUGGACCCAGGUAUUUCCCUACUAUUACUUGCAAUUCCUAAUUGUUGGCAUCAUCAGUGGGACCCAUCUUUAGUAUAAGAUCAGUGCUAACUCUUAAUACUCUGAGAAUGAUUCAUCUAGAAUAAUAAAAAGAUUCCAAUAUGUGUUGGUGAUGGUGUAUUAGAAUUGUAUGAGCACACACAAGUCCAAGACCUAAUUGUACAGACAAAGCCUUUCAUUUUUUUAUUUUACCUUGUGAUACAAGCUUCACUGGUUACCUGAUUAGACCUCAAUGAACAGUCAGAAAAGCCACAAAAUAAAAAAGUCUGGCCUGUUUGCAUUCGUAAAUAUAAUUAACACCCAAGUGAUCAAGUGUAAUGGUUCAGAGAGUUUUAAAUUAUAAAAGAGAAUAAAUAAAACAGGGGUGUGCUUCAUAAUAUAAACUUUUUACUUUAACCCCCUCCCAUGCAAAAUUGAUUUCAUUACCUUGUAUAAAGCAAAUGCAAUAUAGCUCAGAAGAGCAAGUAAUGGCAAUUUCGAGCAUGUGCCUGAAAACAUAAAUUCACUCACCCAUAGAUAAUUUUAAUUAAGAAUUAUUUACACUAUAAAUAAAGCCUGGAUGCCUGACCUAAAGACAUCUUAUAUACCCAUACUUAAAAUGUUUUGCUGGACAACAGCAAACAGCAAAAUAUCACGAAGGUAUUAUGAGCGCUACUUCAGCUUAUCAGAAACACCCCCGUUCCCCAGAUCUGUAAACUGAUGUGGGGAGCGACGCUCAAAUACCACGGAUCGGAAAAACCACGACUCACCCCCCCACCGCCCCCUUCCUCGAAGGAACCCGAAAAGAACUUUAGACUGAUGGGUGCCAGGGACUGCGGCUGCCCCGGGAAAUCAGCAGCUCGCCGAAGAUUUGGCGUAAAGCAAUGAGCCACCACCCUCCCGAAGAAAGCCGAGGCAAGUCGAUGGCCCAGGUUUGGACUCCGCAACAUGCUGCCGGGCGUUGUGGGUGCGUGCCCCAGCGCAGCGCGUUUCCCGACCGGGCCCCGGUUGCAGAUUGCCCAGAGCAGAAAGCCCUCUCGCCACAGCCUCGCCGUGAGACGGUGACAAGCCCCCCCGGCCGCUGAGAAAAGCAGCUCCCAGCCCUGCCACCAAAGCUACAGGGUCUGCGCUGCGCCCCACGCUGAAGCCAUCGGGCUGUGGACGCCAGCCGAUGAACAGCCUGCAAGUGCGAUACAGGGUAACCUUGAUGAGGCGGCGAGGGCGGCAGCCCUGCCCUGCCCCGUGGUGCGUUUUAAAGGGACGAGUUGAAAACAGUUCAGGAAGUGACAAGCCUAUUUCCUCUCGGUGAGCAGAUCGGUACGAAGCACUCCAGAUCCAGCAGGGGAGUCUUGCGGGCUCCUUCUGGAGACGGAUGCUGCAAACCGUACCCAGGAGACCCACCGCCGGGUGCUGGAGGAUGGGGACUUAAUACAAAGAGACAGAGGAACACCUGCAUUCUGAGGUAUAGUUUUGCAGCUUAAGCUUUCCUCAAGACAAACUCCUUCCUAUAAAUCAUCAAGAACUCUGAGCAAGCAAGUCCUGAGUCCACCAAGAACUCUCUGCCUUUGGAGCAUUAUUGACUGGCUGUAAGUAGAUGGACAUCAUUUCACAAAGGUAGGCAUUGAUAUGGGUUUAAGUAAUAUUUGAAGUGUGCCUAUGCUUUGAAAAGUGGUUCUGUAAAAAUGGCAUGGUAGGAUUCCAAGUUUAUUGUUUCUCAAUGACUCUAUAUUUAUUCUGUUUAUGGGAAAAAAGUUUUUCUAUUUGCCAGCUCAAUAUGGGAAGUCAAAGUCAAGCUGGAUUCUUCCUGGCUUGUGCAGCAUCCUUAGUAAUUAAGAGUCUGCAGCUGAAACAGUUCUGUAGAUGAUGCCCUUGGAACGUAAUCUGCUCACUCUCCCAUAGCUGUAUUGGCUCUGAAGUGUUACUGGGAGUAAAAAGUGGUAAAAUCUUAUUUUUGUCACCAAAGUGAAUAAACCAGACUCUGAAUACAGGUCUAUUCAGUAAGAAGGUGCCUUUUUACAAUCAUUUUUCUGACCAUAACUGCACUUUAAGUUGAGAUCUCCCAGUGGCUUAAGAUAUGAGUGAUUCUUUUUGUGCCAUUAUCAUGGUCCUCCACAAGAAGUUUCGUGCAGCCUGAAUGGUGGGAUCAAAGCCACCAGUGGGUUUUCCCGUGUCUCCUUUCACUGUUUCUGUGUCAGUAUCACAUAGCAAAUCAGAUAUUUGCAGGAGUCCAUGAUCCUCAUGGUCUAGUCAAUUAGAAAGCAUAGCUGCCACCUCUGAGUAGCAGCCCAACACUCUUCUAGUUUGCUGGGUUCUUAUCCAUCAAUUGGUAUUUGCUGCUUGCAGUUACUAAUUUUGCUCUUUUUUCCCCUUUCAGUUGCCAAGAAGGAAAAUGCAAAAACACUGCCAGCACCACGUCCUUAAUCCGAGAAGGAACAGCAACUGAGAUGACUCGGACAAACCACCUCUGACCCUCUCCUGUCAUUUCUCUCUAUCCCUUUCCGCUGUUUGUUUGUAAGGGAGUCUUUCCCCUGCCACUCCUAUUCCUUAAGAGCAAGGGGACAAUAAACUGAUGUUGUUUUUCACUGA